CUCGCCGGCGAGAUCAUUUACAAUUUAGAAGAAGACGAAGUACGACGCAUGCCGUGGCCCGAAUGGUUAACUGCUGCCUAUGCAAAGAAGAGGCAUGUUAUUUAUUCCGGUAACUUUACAGUUUGCUGUAGGAUACUAUC